UACCUCUGCUAAAAGCCGGAGUCGAGGGCA
rnacentral:piRNA from 1 species